rnacentral:rRNA from 1 species
AUUGAACGCUGGCGGCAUGCUUUACACAUGCAAGUCGAACGGUAACAGGCCUUCGGGUGCUGACGAGUGGCGCACGGGUGAGUAAUGCAUCGGAACGUGCCCAGAGGUGGGGGAUAACGCAGCGAAAGCUGUGCUAAUACCGCAUGUGAUCUGAGGAUGAAAGCGGGGGACCGAGCAGCAAUGUUUGGCCUCGCGCCUUUGGAGCGGCCGAUGUCGGAUUAGCUAGUUGGUGGGGUAAAGGCCUACCAAGGCGACGAUCCGUAGCUGGUCUGAGAGGACGACCAGCCACACUGGGACUGAGACACGGCCCAGACUCCUACGGGAGGCAGCAGUGGGGAAUUUUGGACAAUGGGCGCAAGCCUGAUCCAGCAAUGCCGCGUGCGGGAAGAAGGCCUUCGGGUUGUAAACCGCUUUUGGCAGGAACGAAACGGUGUCCGCUAAUACCGGGCGCUAAUGACGGUACCUGCAGAAUAAGCACCGGCUAACUACGUG